CCACAACCCUUGCACCAACCUUCAGUCUAUAGGAGCUGUAGAUUAAGGUCUGCGCAGUGGGGAAGUUGGUGUUGCAGCACUCCUGUUGUCUGUCGACCUGACUCCUAUUGUUGAGAUCAUCUUCUUAUGGAGACUAAUUAAAGCAUGAUGAGUCAGAUUGAUGUGCUACCUUUUAAAGCAUGUAGUCAGAGCCAUAUUUUUCCUUGAAUUUUACAUACUGAGCAUAUAUAUCUUCUGGAAGACUCCCAAAUGCUUAAACUUCAGGCCCAAAAGAUCUGGACCCACCUCUGCUUAUAAGAUUCUAGAAACCAGAGGCAUGGCACAUCACGCAGGGCCACAAAGGAAGCCACCAGAGGGGUCACGAAGCAGAAGACAGGAGCCAGAGGAGAGUGCGGGCAAUUGUGUUUAUUGAGUACCCACAGAAAAGUCCACAGGUCCUGGCCCAGUGCAAACAAAGAUAGAUGAGGUCGUUUCUCUGCAGUGGUCUCUCCAACUCCAUUUUAAAAUGGUUCCAAUCUGGGGAACCUGAGUGUCUUCUUUGGUUAUGCAUGGGACUCUUGAUUUCUGCUCAGGUCAUGAUGUCACGUUUCCUAAGAUUGAGCCGUGACUGGGGCUCAGCGCUAGUAGGCUCUGUGCUGAUAGCGCUGAGAACUCAGAGCCUACUUAGGAUUCUCUCUCUCUCUUUCUCUGUGCCUCUCACCCCCACUCCUAUGCAUGCUCUCCCUCUCUCUUAAAAUAA